rnacentral:lncRNA from 1 species
CGUUAAAGACCGUACUUUGACCUAUAGUUGUUGAAUUUUACUAAUCAUCACUUGGACGGUGAGUUGUCUCAUUAGCAUUCAUACCAUAUCUUAUCAUAUCUAUAAAUACGUAUAUUAACUUUACUUUUGAUUUAUGCAUAAUGUUCAUUGUAUAAACGUAAAAAAAUCAUUAAAUUGUGUUUGUGACUGUAAACAUGCAAGUCGGACC